GAGGGGAUAGGAGAAAGGUAAGGAGGAGUAUGACAGAAAAGAAUACUGAAGGAGUUAGGAGGAAAUGAGUGAGGUGUAAUGGAGGAGAGUAGGGCAGGUUACUGGAGAGAUAUCAGCACAGGUGGUAAGGAGAAUAGGCAGACGGUAAGGAAGAAAAUAGAGGUAGAGGGAUGGAAAACCAAGUUAGCAGAGCAGACUGAGGAGGGCUAAUCAGGGGAAAUAGGAGGAAGCAAAGAAGAAAGAGAGAGAGUAGAGCGCCACCUAGUGGCUGGUGUAGGUAAAUGAGAGGGAGAACGGGGAAAAUACAAACAGGACAAGGGAAUGAAAAAAAGAAAGAAAAAUGAGGGCAGGAAAAGGUGAAAGUGAGGGGGGUUUUGGGGGAUAAGAGAGGAGAGGUACUGGCUGCUAGGCACACAAGCGCAGGCAGAGUAAUGGACUCUGAAGAAAGCGAAGCCCAAGACCUACUUUCAGUUCCUUGACUGUAGAUUAAUAUGGGAGGUAGGCAGAUUUUCAGUCACUGUAGUCAGGGCCAGGAUCAUCAAACAGCAGUAGGGCUUAAAGCUGGACAAGAUUCUGUAGGGAUGGUGCUAUUAACUUUUUUCAGUUCCUUGACUGUAGAUUAAUAUGGGAGGUAGGCAGAUUUUCAGUCACUGUAGUCAGGGCCAGGAUCAUCAAACAGCAGUAGGGCUUAAAGCUGGACAAGAUUCUGUAGGGAUGGUGCUAUUAACUUUUUCAGUUCCUUGACUGUAGAUUAAUAUGGGAGGUAGGCAGAUUUUCAGUCACUGUAGUCAGGGCCAGGAUCAUCAAACAGCAGUAGGGCU